rnacentral:rRNA from 1 species
GCGAGUGAAGCGGUAAAAGCUCAAAUUUGAAAUCUGGUACUUUCAGUGCCCGAGUUGUAAUUUGUAGAAUUUGUCUUUGAUUAGGUCCUUGUCUAUGUUCCUUGGAACAGGACGUCAUAAAGGGUGAGAAUCCCGUUUGGCGAGGAUACCUUUUCUCUGUAAGACUUUUUCCAAAAGUCCAGUUGUUUGGGAAUGCAGCUCAAAGUGGGUGGUAAAUUCCAUCUAAAGCUAAAUAUUGGCGAGAGACCGAUAGCGAACAAGUACAGUGAUGGAAAGAUGAAAAGAACUUUGAAAAGAGAGUGAAAAAGUACGUGAAAUUGUUGAAAGGGAAGGGCAUUUGAUCAGACAUGGUGUUUUUUGCAUGCACUCGCCUCUCGUGGGCUUGGGCCUCUCAAAAAUUUCACUGGGCCAACAUCAAUUCUGGCAGCAGGAUAAAUCAUUAAGAAUGUAGCUACUUCGGUAGUGUUAUAGCUUUUUGGAAUACUGUUAGCCGGGAUUGAGGACUGCGCUUCGGCAAGGAUGUUGGCAUAAUGGUUAAAUGCCGCCCGUCUU